rnacentral:rRNA from 1 species
CAACGCCGCGUGCAGGAGGAAGGCUUUCGGGUUGUAAACUGCUUUUGUUGGGGACGAAACGGACGGUACCCAACGAAUAAGCCCCGGCUAACUCCGUGCCAGCAGCCGCGGUAAUACGGAGGGGGCAAGCGUUGUCCGGACUUACUGGGCGUAAAGCGCACGUAGGCGGUCUGGAGCGUCGGUACUGAAAGUGCCCGGCUUAACCGGGCAAGGUGUACCGAUACGACCAGGCUUGAGGCAGUAAGAGGUUGGCGGAAUUCCGGGUGUAGUGGUGAAAUGCGUAGAGAUCCGGAGGAACGCCUGUGGCGAAAGCGGCCAACUGGUGCUGACCUGACGCUGAGGUGCGAAAGCGUGGGGAGCGAACCGGAUUAGAUACCCGGGUAGUCCACGCUAUAGACGAUGUCGGCUCGGUGUUCGGGGGUGUGCAACCAUCCCUGAGUGCCCAAGUUUACACGGUAAGCCGACCGCCUGGGGACUACGAGCGCAAGCUUAAAACUCAAAGGAAUUGACGGGGGCCCGCACAAGCAGCGGAGCGUGUGGUUUAAUUCGACGCAACACGAAGAACCUUACCCAGGUUUGACAUGAUCCUGCAAGCCCACGGAGACGUGGGACCUGAGAGGGUGGAUCACAGGUGCUGCAUGGCUGUCGUCAGCUCGUGUCGUGAGAUGUUGGGUUAAGUCCCGCAACGAGCGCAACCCUUGCUGCCAGUUACCAGUGUCUGGCGGGACAGCCGUCUGAAGAGACGGAGGAAGGCGGGGAUGACGUCAAGUCCGCAUGGCCCUUACGCCUGGGGCGACACACACGCUACAAUGGCCGGGACAGUGCGUUGCGAACCUGCAAAGGUGAGCUAAUCGCGAAACCCGGU